AUGCGACCGAGGCCGCCUCCUCCUAGCGCCAUGGACCGUCAUCACCACCAGCAGCAGCAGCAGCCGCCGUCGCCUCAAGGGGACCAUGCCGCCCAGCCGCGCUGCUGGGAGGAGUUCCUCCACAGGAAGACCAUCCGGGUCCUGCUCGUGGAGACCGACGACUCCACCCGGCAGGUCGUCACCGCCCUGCUCCGCCACUGCAUGUACCAAGUUAUCCCUGCUGAAAACGGCCACCAGGCGUGGGCGUAUCUCCAGGACAUGCAGAGCAACAUCGACCUUGUUCUGACAGAGGUCUUCAUGCACGGCGGUCUCUCCGGGAUCGACCUGCUCGGCAGGAUCAUGAACCACGAGGUCUGCAAGGACAUCCCCGUCAUCAUGAUGUCGUCGCACAAUUCGAUGGGCACGGUCCUCAGUUGCCUGUCAAAUGGUGCUGCUGACUUCUUGGCCAAGCCGAUACGUAAGAACGAGCUUAAGAACCUUUGGGCGCAUGUGUGGAGACGCUCUCACAGCUCCAGUGGCAGUGGUAGUGGAAGUGCCAUUCAGACGCAGAAGUGUACCAAAUCAAAGAGCGCUGACGAUUCCAAUAAUAACAGCAAUAACCGCAACGACGAUGCCAGCAUGGGGCUCAAUGCAAGGGAUGGCAGCGAUAAUGGUAGUGGCACUCAGAGCUCAUGGACAAAGCGUGCCGUUGAGAUCGACAGUCCACAGGACAUGUCUCCGGAUCAGUCAGUUGAUCCUCCUGAUAGCACUUGCGCGCAUGUGAGCCACCUCAAGUCAGAGAUAUGCAGCAAUAGAUUAAGAGGUACAGAUAACAAAAAAUGCCAGAAACCAAAAGAAACUAAUGGUGAUGAGUUCAAAGGGAAGGAGCUGGAGAUAGGUGCCCCUGGUAAUUUGAACACAGAUGAUCAAUCCUCCCCGAACGAGAGUUCGGUCAAACCAACAGAUAAUGGACGGUGUGAGUAUCUGCCACAGAACAACUCCAACGAUACAGUUAUGGAAAAUUCGGAUGAGCCAAUUGUUCGAGCUGCUGACCUAAUCGGUUCGAUGGCCAAAAACAUGGACGCCCAACAGGCAGCUAGAGCAAUAGAUGCUCCUAACUGCUCCUCACAAGUGCCGGAAGGGAAAGACGCCGACCGUGAGAACGCCAUGCCAUAUCUUGAGCUGAGCCUAAAGAGGUCGAGAUCGACCACGGAGGGUGCGGAUGCGAUCCAGGAGGAACAGAGGAACGUCGUGAGACGAUCAGACCUCUCGGCAUUCACGAGGUACAAUACGUGCUCGUUCUCCAAUCAAGGCGGGGCAGGGUUCGUCGGGAGCUGUUCGCCCACGUGA
rnacentral:rRNA from 1 species